rnacentral:rRNA from 1 species
UGGGGAAUAUUGGGCAAUGGAGGCAACUCUGACCCAGCAACGCCGCGUGAAUGAUGAAGGUCUUCGGAUUGUAAAGUUCUGUGACGGGGGACGAACACAAUGACGGUACCCCGACAGCAAGCCACGGCUAACUACGUGCCAGCAGCCGCGGUAAUACGUAGGUGGCAAGCGUUAUCCGGAAUGACUGGGCGUAAAGGGUGCGUAGGUGGUUUGGCAAGUUGGCGGCGUAAUUCCGAGGCUCAACCUCGGCGCUACCGCCAAAACUGUCGGACUUGAGUGCAGGAGGGGUAAGUGGAAUUCCUAGUGUAGCGGUGGAAUGCGUAGAUAUUAGGAGGAACAUCGGUGGCGAAGGCGACUUACUGGACUGUAACUGACACUGAGGCACGAAAGCGUGGGGAGCAAACA